rnacentral:rRNA from 1 species
AUUGAACGCUGGCGGCAGGCCUAACACAUGCAAGUCGAACGAGUGGCGGACGGGUGAGUAAUGUCUGGGAAACUGCCUGAUGGAGGGGGAUAACUACUGGAAACGGUAGCUAAUACCGCAUACCAUCGGAUGUGCCCAGAUGGUAGUAGAUAGUAGGUGGGGUAAAGGCUCACCAAGGCGACGAUCCCUAGCUGGUAUGAGAGGAUGACCAGCCACACUGGAACGUGGACACGGUCCAGACUCCUACUGGGUGCAGCAGGGGGUAAUAUUGCCCAAUGGGCGCAAGCCUGAUGCAGCCAUGCCGCGUGUAUGAAGAAGGCCUUCGGGUUGUAAAGUACUUUCAGCGGGGAGGCGUUACCCGCAGAAGAAGCACCGGCUAACUCCGUGCCAGCAGCCGCGGUAAUAC